CAAUAGCGUAUAUUAAAGUUGUUGCAGUUAAAAAGCUCGUAGUUGGAUUUCUGGGCUGGCCGGACGGUCCACCUCACGGUGAGAACUGGCUGGUCGGCCCUUCCUCUCGAAGUGUUGCGGUGUUCUUAACUGAGUGCUGUGGCAAUUCGGGACCUUUACUUUGAAAAAUUAGAGUGUUCAAAGCAGGCCUUCGCUUGAAUACAUUAGCAUGGAAUAAUAGGAAUAAGGACUUUGGUUUCUUAUUUUGUUUGGUUUUCUUAGGACCGAAGUAAUGAUUAAUAGGGACAGUUGGGGGCGAUUAGUAUUUAAUUGUCAGAGGUGAAAUUCUUGGAUUUAUGAAAGACUAACUACUGCGAAAGCAUUUGCCAAGGAUGUUUUCAUUAAUCAAGAACGAAAGUU
rnacentral:rRNA from 1 species